CGCUUCGAGACCACCGCGUCCCCAUGGCGGGCUCAGCUCGCCUGCGGAUGGCACGACCCGAGUUUCCACACUGACUACUGGGCGUCUGCAGGGUGUCUGGCCACGAAGCCGAAGACUUUGGGUGAGGACGGCAGGACGGCACAGAAGGAAACCGUGGAGAGAGGGCAUGUGUACAACAAAAACUGAGGAUAGGAAAGAUAAUGAGAAGAUGCAAAGUGAUGAUUCAAAGUGAGCAAGAUGUGUAAUUAAAUUGUGUGCAUCCUAG